AUUGAACGCUGGCGGCAGGCCUAACACAUGCAAGUCGAGCGGAGCGGCGGACGGGUGAGUAAUGCCUAGGAAUCGGCCUGGUAGUGGGGGAUAACGUCAGGAAACGGGCGCUAAUACCGCAUACUAUCAGAUGAGCCUAGGUUGGAUUAGCUCGUUGGUGGGGUAAAGGCCUACCAAGGAGACGAUCCGUAACUGGUCUGAUAGGAUGAUCAGUAAAACGUGAACUGAGACACGGUCCAGACUCAUACGGGAGGCAGCAGUGGGGAAUAUUGGACAAUGGGCGAAAGCCUGAUCCAGCCAUGCCGCGUGUGUGAAGAAGGUCUUCGGAUUGUAAAGCACUUUAAGUUGGGAGGCGUUACCAACAGAAUAAGCACCGGCUAACUUCGUGCCAGCAGCCGCGGUAAUUC
rnacentral:rRNA from 1 species